rnacentral:rRNA from 1 species
GAUUGAACGCUGGCGGCAUGCCUUACACAUGCAAGUCGAACGGCAGCACGGGAGCAAGUCCUGGUGGCGAGUGGCGAACGGGUGAGUAAUAUAUCGGAACGUGCCCAGUCGUGGGGGAUAACGUAGCGAAAGCUACGCUAAUACCGCAUACGAUCUAUGGAUGAAANCGGGGGAUCGCAAGACCUCGCGCGAUUGGAGCGGCCGAUAUCAGAUUAGGUAGUUGGUGAGGUAAAGGCUCACCAAGCCGACGAUCUGUAGCUGGUCUGAGAGGACGACCAGCCACACUGGGACUGAGACACGGCCCAGACUCCUACGGGAGGCAGCAGUGGGGAAUUUUGGACAAUGGGCGCAAGCCUGAUCCAGCAAUGCCGCGUGCAGGAUGAAGGCCUUCGGGUUGUAAACUGCUUUUGUACGGAACGAAACGGUGAGCUCUAAUACAGUUUGCUAAUGACGGUACCGUAAGAAUAAGCACCGGCUAACUACGUG